rnacentral:misc_RNA from 1 species
UNCGCUUUNCGAACGCACAUUGCGGUCCACGGNUACAAUUCCCGGACCACGCCUGGCUGAGGGUCGUUUAUAAACUAAAAACUGCUUAUCUCAAAACAAAGGUAUACGUACGUAUACCGAAGAGAUACGAGCGAAAUAAUGAAUGUUCGUUGCCUUCACUCUCAAUAUAAUUAUACAUUAUUACUGUAGAGAGGUUGCGGCGUCGUUUGAAAAAAGUUUAAAAAGAAAAGCCACUAUGACCGUGUCCUCCCCUUGCCCGUCUGUUGUGUUGUUGUUACACGCAAGCAGAUGUUGAACGCAACCGCUUGCACACAUAACACUAUCAAUAGAGGCGGUCGUGGAUCGGUCGUCGAGUCCUGGAGCUUUUAGUUGAGCAACGGACGGACAGACGACUAUUUUAUGAUUUACGAUCGCUAUUUUCCUGUGGCGUGUGUGUAAAAGUUGGUGACAGAGUAGUAAGGUGAGAAGGGAUGCGUUGUUUUAUUUUUGGUCUUUUUUUUUUUU